GUCCCACAGCGCCCAUGUGAGCUUGUUGCAGAGCUGCUGCUCAGGGAUGGGAACCUCCUGGCACUCCAGCCUCCAAAAUCAUUCAGGCUGCACUUUCUGCAUGACUGUGUGCUAGCUGAGAGGUGCGUGGGAAUUGGUUGCCUCUCCUGCAGCCACUGACUUCAAUGGGACACAAACACCUGCUUAAAUACUUUCCUGAUUUGGGGCCUUCGUCACCAUUCCAGUAAAUCCUUGGUUUCCCUGCUAAAAUGGCCGAUAAAGGUGCCAGUGAUUCUCAACUUUGGCUCAGAGGCAGUUCUGACUUCUCCCUUCCCCUCAGAAUCUGAGCCACUACUGAACUUUCUCUACUGGGGAAGCUUGGCUGCUUUGGCUGGAAAUUAACAGGCACAGAUGGACUCACCAGCUGCACGUUGUUGGCUUGAUAGUAACUCAUGAUC